rnacentral:rRNA from 1 species
GAUGAACGCUAGCGGCAGGCUUAAUACAUGCAAGUCGAACGGUAAGUAUGAUAGCAAUAUUGUACCUAGAGUGACGUACGGGCGCGUAACACGUAUGCAACCUACCCUUUACAGGCGGAUAGCUCGGGGAAACUCGAAUUAACCCGUCAAUAAUAUAAUUGAAUGGCAUCAUUUGAUUAUUAAAACUCCGGUGGUAAAGGAUGGGACAUGCGUCUGAUUAGUUA